CCGGGAAUCUUCCGCAAUGGGGGAAACCCUGACGGAGCGACGCCGCGUGAGGGAAGAAGCCCUUCGGGGUGUAAACCUCUUUUCUCGGGGAAGAAGUUCUGACGGUACCCGAGGAAAAAGCCCCGGCUAACUACGUGCCAGCAGCCGCGGUAAGACGUAGGGGGCGAGCGUUGUCCGGAUUUACUGGGCGUAAAGGGCGUGUAGGUGGCUUAGCAAGUCAGAUGUGGAAGCCCCGGGCUCAACUCGGGGAGGUCAUCUGAUACUGCUAAGCUAGAGGGCAGGAGAGGAGAGCGGAACUUCCGGUGUAGCGGUGAAAUGCGUAGAUAUCGGAAGGAACGCCGGUGGCGAAGGCGGCUCUCUGGACUGUCCCUGACGCUGAGGCGCGAAAGCUAGGGGAGCGAACGG
rnacentral:rRNA from 1 species